UGCGUAGGCGGAAGAUUAAGUCAGUAGUGAAAUCCUGCAGCUCAACUGUAGAACUGUUAUUGAUACUGAUCUUCUUGAAUACAGUUGAGGUAGGCGGAAUAUGUAAUGUAGCGGUGAAAUGCUUAGAUAUUACAUAGAACACCGAUUGCGAAGGCAGCUUACUAAACUGUGAUUGACGCUGAGGCACGAAAGCGUGGGUAGCGAACAGGAUUAGAUACCCUGGUAGUCC
rnacentral:rRNA from 1 species